CCAGGGGAUCAAUUUUAGACACACUUCCUAAUCCUUUUUUGUGGUGAAAUAAAAGAAAGUCAAAAUGUUGGCUGGAUUAGUGAAGAAGAUCGCCUCCACCAUAAUGGGGAGUUGUGCCUCAAAUCCAAAUAGAAAAGCCAAUGGUCACAAGAGAAGAAAACACAAGUCCGGCAAGCGUAGAGGAAAUAUACCCACAUCACUUCCUGAGAUGCCUUUGAAAAGGGUAAGCAAUGCUGGAAGCCUUGUGGGAGAUUUCGAUCUUAGUGACUUUGUUAACCUGGACUUUGAGAAUGGUGCUUCAGCCCCCUGCAGAAGAUAUGAGGUUUCAAAUAUGAAGUUUCAUUUAACACAACUUCAAUACCANAGUCAAAUUGAUGCAAAUGGACAUUGCAAGUGAUGGUUGCUUCAGCCUUGGUAUGUUGGCCCGUAUGGAACCUACUUUGCGAGGAAAGAAUGUCUGGAUGUAUCCACAAUUAUUUUGGUUUUUUCUAUUUUAUAAUUUCGUUUAGACCCUAAUAAUUGUUUAAACCUUAAAACUAUUUGUAUAGCUACUUUAAUCCUUUUCAAUUGAGUUAGUUUGUUGUCUUGUUCAUUACCUUGUUCAAAGUCGUAUGUUUGUAAAUAUAUUGUGUUGUAGAAAUAUGUUAUCAAACAUGCAGCCCACCAGCCAUUGGUUCUUGGUCAACUAUUGCAGUAGCUUUAAUUCUUGCAUUUUUCAGCUAGAUUGAGGUUCACGUGAAUUCAUCAUAUUGAUUAGAAGUUGGUGGACCAACUUUAGGUAUUAGAAAUUGGUAGAUUUUAGAGUCUGGUGCAGCAACUUGUUUCUGGAAGGAGGUUGGACGUUGAACCAAUUUUUGGCUUGCAGGUUUUUGGUACAGUUUUAGCACUAUUAGAGCAACCAAAGGUCUUAAAUGUAACUGCAAAAGUGCUUCAUGAUGUCGCUUGAACUUGGAUAGUCUUUAUUAUUAGUUCUCAUUUACAUUUGCUCAGUUGUUUUCUUAUGUAGAAGUAGAAUUUAAAGGUUUUUUCUCUGUAUUGAGGUGUAAGAACUUGUAGUGUUGUAGUGCUGUGACAGCAAGUAUAUCUUAUGUAAAAGACUACAAACAUAUUAUGCAAUAUUAUUUGAUUACAUCUCCUUUUCAA